GGCUUUCAAGGCCAGACGUCAUGGGGAUUCCUUCUCCUCCUGUAGGCUCUGUGAUGCUUUCCUCCUGGGGGCAGCUACCUACCACUGUUUCUGCCUAACCCUCUCUGAAGUGGCUCCUCUACAUGAGGCUGUGGAGUCUGUUUUGCCAGUCCACAGACCACUCUCCAGGUUACUUAUUUGGAUGUGCCUUUCUACUCCAUACCUGAAAUACGGCUAUGCUUCUUAUGACUUAAGGUGAAGAUGAGGAAUCUCUUCCAGGGACAAGAAUCAGUAGUGGUGUUUUUGACACUUGACUCAUGUAUGCUUGGAGACUUGCAGCUAUGUUUGGAGAGGAAAUUUUGUACCUCCUUACUUCUCACUGAAGCCAUUGUAAGGGUGGCUUCUGCCAGAUUCCAUAGCAACCACUGGGCACACAGGAAGGAGGACUCUCUAUGGACUGAGUUGUGUCAUCUCAGAAUUCAGAUGUGGAAGCCCUAACCAUCCCACCCAUGACUGUAUUAAAUAAAAAGCUUUUAAGGAAGUGAUGAAGGUUAAAUAAAGUCAUAGGCAUGGACCCUCAAUCCUACGGAACUGGUGUCCUUAUAAAAAAGGAAGAGACACCAGGAUCUUUCUCUCACCAUCAUAUGAAGAUACAGCAAAGUGCUGUCUGUAAACUAGGAAGAGAGCUCUCACCAGAAACUCAAGUCUGUUGAAACUUUGAGUUUGGACUUUUUAGC